UUAUACAGCGAAACUGCGAAUGGCUCAUUAUAUAAGUUAUCGUUUAUUUGAUAGUACCUUACUACUUGGAUAACCGUGGUAAUUCUAGAGCUAAUACAUGCUAAAAAUCCCGACUUCGGAAGGGAUGUAUUUAUUAGAUACAAAACCAAUGCCCCUCGGGGCUCUCUGGUGAUUCAUGAUAACUCGUCGAAUCGCACGGCCUUGCGCCGGCGAUGGUUCAUUCAAAUUUCUUCCCUAUCAACUUUCGAUGUUUGGGUAGUGGCCAAACAUGGUGGCAACGGGUAACGGAGGGUUAGGGCUCGACCCCGGAGAAGGAGCCUGAGAAACGGCUACUACAUCCAAGGAAGGCAGCAGGCGCGCAAAUUACCCAAUCCCGAUACGGGGAGGUAGUGACAAUAAAUACUGAUACAGGGCUCUUUUGGGUCUUGUAAUUGGAAUGAGUACAAUUUAAAUCCCUUAACGAGGAACAAUUGGAGGGCAAGUCUGGUGCCAGCAGCCGCGGUAAUUCCAGCUCCAAUAGCGUAUAUUAAAGUUGUUGUGGUUAAAAAGCUCGUAGUUGAAUCUUGGGCCUGGCUGGCCGGUCCGCCUCACCGCGUGUACUGGUCCGGCCGGGUCUUUCACUCUGCGGAACCACAUGCCCUUCAGUGGGUGUGGCGGGGAAGCAGGACGUUUACUUUGAAAAAAUUAGAGUGCUCUAAGCAGCCAAUGCUCGGAUACAUUAGCAUGGAAUAAUAAAAUAGGACGCGCGGUUCUAUUUUGUUGGUUUCUAGGACCGCCGUAAUGAUGAAUAGGGACAGUCGGGGCAUCAGUAUUCAGUGUCAGAGUGAAAUCUGGAUCUACUGAGACUACUACUGCGAAAGCAUUUGCCAAGGAUGUUUUCAUUAAUCAGGAACGAAAGUUAGAGGAUCGAAGACGAUCAGAUACCGUCGUAGUCUUAACCAUAACUAUGCCGACUAGGGAUCGGACGAUGUUAUUUAGUUGACUCGUUCGGCACUUACGAGAAAUCAAAGUGCUUGGGCUCCAGGGGGAGUAUGGUCGCAAGGCUGAAACUUAAAGAAAUUGACGGAAGGGCACCACCAGGGGUUAACGUGAACUGUAAGCCGCAGUCAACUCUGCCCCCAAAAGCUGCCCGAUAAAAAGGGUCGGUGGUGUGCCUAAACUAAGAGCUAUGUCCCUGUGCUGUGGUCCCUCGGGGGGAGCACGGGGGCGACACCCUCAAACUGACGGGGAACCCCUAAAGCCAUCCGCUCCGGCCUCCGCUUAGGAAACUCUGCGAGAGGCACCAGGUUAACGGCCUGGGUAUCGGAACAAAUUCGCGGUGGAUGUUACAAUGGGCAAUCCGCAGCCAAGCCCCUAAGUGCACUGUAAUUGCAGCGCAUACGGGGAAGGUUCAGAGACUUGACGGGGGUGGGUGGGUGCGCACGUCCGCCGCACGGCGGGCGUGUUCUUCAAAGCAUUAUGCCCGCUUAAGAUAAAGUCCCGGAGGGGCGCUGAAAGGUGCUCCCUCCACAGCUUGUUCGCACUGAACAGGCCCUGUAAACUAAACGGGAGCCUGCGGCUUAAUUUGACUCAACACGGGGAAACUCACCAGGUCCAGACACAAUGAGGAUUGACAGAUUGAGAGCUCUUUCUUGAUUUUGUGGGUGGUGGUGCAUGGCCGUUCUUAGUUGGUGGAGUGAUUUGUCUGCUUAAUUGCGAUAACGAACGAGACCUUAACCUGCUAAAUAGUCAGUAUUGCUAUGGCAGUACGCGGGC
rnacentral:rRNA from 1 species